rnacentral:lncRNA from 1 species
AAGGGAGGAGUCACCACUCGCAGGAUAGGAUUAAAAGGGAGGAGUCACCACUCGCAGGAUAGGAUUAAAAGGGAGGAGUCACCACUCGCAGGAUAGGAUUAAAAGGGAGGAGUCACCACUCGCAGGAUAGGAUUAAAAGGGAGGAGUCACCACUCGCAGGAUAGGAUUAAAAGGGAGGAGUCACCACUCGCAGGAUAGGAUUAAAAGGGAGGAGUCACCACUCGCAGGAUAGGAUUAAAAGGGAGGAGUCACCACUCGCAGGAUAGGAUUAAGGGAGGAGUCACCACACUGGAAAUCGUAAGUACAUUGGGAGUUAAAGCAUGAUUUAUCAUACAGGGAAUGAGAGGCAUGUUAGGAGACACAUCGAAGGAUGAGGCAUCGCACUGGGGAUCAUAAAGGAUUUCAGGCAUAGGGUAUAGGAUGUUUCGUUACAGUAGAUGUCAUAGGUAAAUUAUGGAAAUAUGUAACUCUUUAAUACGGAAACAAAGGUGGUCCUUAUUUAGUAUACCUUUCAUAGAAUCUAUCUCUCUCUCUCUCUCUCGCUCUCUC